rnacentral:rRNA from 1 species
AUUCCAGCUCCAAUAGUGUAUAUUAAAGUUGUUGCGGUUAAAAAGCUCGUAGUUGGAUUUCUGCCAAGGCUGAACGGUCCGCCCAUUGGGUGAGUAUCUGUCUUAGCUGGAGCAUUUUCUUGGAGGGCAUGGCUGCACUUAACUGUGUGGUAUGCAACCCAAGACUUUUACUUUGAGGAAAUUAGAGUGUCUCAAGCAGGCUCGCGCCUUGAAUACAUUAGCAUGGAAUAAUAAGAUAAGGCCUUGGUUGUAUUUUGUUGGUUUCUACAGCUGAGGUAAUGAUGAACAGGGAUACUUGGGGGCAUACGAAUUUAACUGUCAGAGGUGAAAUUCUUGGAUUGUUAAAGACGGACUACUGUGAAAGCAUUUGCCAAGAAUGUUUUCAUCG